UACGUAGGGUGCAAGCGUUAAUCGGAAUUACUGGGCGUAAAGCGUGCGCAGGCGGUUUUGUAAGUUUGUCGUGAAAGCCCCGGGCUCAACCUGGGAAUUGCGAUGAAGACUGCAAGGCUUGAAUCUGGCAGAGGGGGGUAGAAUUCCACGUGUAGCAGUGAAAUGCGUAGAGAUGGGGAGGAACACCGAUGGCGAAGGCAGCCCCCUGGGUCAAGAUUGACGCUCAUGCACGAAAGCGUGGGGAGCAAUCAGG
rnacentral:rRNA from 1 species